UGAGCGAUCUGCCCUUCUCUUCGGAAUAAGCGUGGGAAACCGCGUCUAAUGCCGAAUACGACCUCCUUUCGCAUGAUCGGAGGUGGAAAGCUCCGGCGGAGAAGGAUGAGCUCGCGGCCUAUCAGCUAGUUGGUGUGGGUAAUGGCCCACCAAGGCGACGACGGGUAGCCGGCCUGAGAGGGUGACCGGCCACACUGGGACUGAGACACGGCCCAGACUCCUACGGGAGGNAG
rnacentral:rRNA from 1 species